rnacentral:rRNA from 1 species
GGACUACUCGGGUAUCUAAUCCCGUUCGCUCCCCUGGCUUUCGCGCCUCAGCGUCAGUAGAGGUCCAGCAGACCGCUUUCGCCACCGGCGUUCCUUCCGAUAUCAACGCAUUUCACCGCUCCACCGGAAGUUCCGUCUGCCCCUGCCUCCCUCGAGCGUGUCAGUAUCGGGGGCCCUUAUUCGGUUAAGCCGAAUGCUUUCACCCCCGACUUGACGCGCCGCCUACGCGCCCUUUAAGCCCAGUGAUUCCGAACAACGUUCGCACGGUUCGUCUUACCGCGGCGGCUGGCAC